rnacentral:lncRNA from 1 species
CGGCCGAUCUCUUUGGCAGGGGAGGUACAAAAUUGACUCAUAGAUUCUUUGCAGAUGACUUAUUGCUAUUCUGAGAAGCAACAGUUGACCAAGCUAGCAUUAAUAUUGACUGCCUUGAGCAAUUUCGGCAAUCUCGGGACAAGAGAUAAGCAAACCCAAUUCUCGUGUUUUCUUUUCCUCCAAUGUGCGCAGGGUCCAUUCACAGGCC